GAUGAAGAACGUAGCGAAAUGCGAUAAGUAGUGUGAAUUGUAGAAUUCAGUGAAUCAUCGAAUCUUUGAACGCACAUUGCGCCCCUUGGUAUUCCAUGGGGCAUGCCUGUUCGAGCGUCAUUUGUACCUUCAAGCUCUGCUUGGUGUUGGGUGUUUGUCUCGCCUCUGCGUGUAGACUCGCCUCAAAACAAUUGGCAGCCGGCGUAUUGAUUUCGGAGCGCAGUACAUCUCGCGCUUUGCACUCAUAACGACGACGUCCAAAAGUACAUUUUUACACUCUUGACCUCGGAUCAGGUAGGGAUACCCGCUGAACUUAAGCAUAUCAAUAAGCGGAGGA
rnacentral:misc_RNA from 1 species